rnacentral:rRNA from 1 species
CAGUAGCCGCGGUAAUACGGAGGGUGCAAGCGUUAAUCGGAAUUACUGGGCGUAAAGCGCACGCAGGCGGUCUGACAAGUCAGAUGUGAAAUCCCCGGGCUCAACCUGGGAAUGGCAGUGGAUACUGGCUCGCUAGAGUGUGUCAGAGGAUGGUGGAAUUCCCGGUGUAGCGGUGAAAUGCGUAGAGAUCGGGAGGAACAUCAGUGGCGAAGGCGGCCAUCUGGGACAACACUGACGCUGAGGCACGAAAGCGUGGGGAGCAAACAGGAUUAGAUACCCGAGUAGUCCCUGUCUCUUAACA